UUAUAGUUUAUUUGAUGAAAAGUACUACUUGGAUAACCGUAGUAAUUCUAGAGCUAAUACAUGAUAAAAUCCUCGACUUUGAAGAGGUGUAUUUAUUAGAAUGAAACCAAUAGACUUCGGUCUGUUUGUGAGUAAUAAUAACUAAUCGUAUCGCAUGCUUAGGUAGCGAUAUGUCUUUCAAGUUUCUGCCCUAUCGGCCUUGGAUGGUAGUGUAUUGGACUACCAUGGCAGUAACGGGUAACGAAGAAUUUGGGUUCGAUUUCGGAGAGGGAGCCUGAGAGAUGGCUACCACAUCCAAGGAAGGCAGCAGGCGCGUAAAUUACCCAAUCCUGACAUAGGGAGGUAGUGACAAUAAAUCACAAUGCGGAACUAUUAGUUUUGCAAUUGGAUUGAGAACAAUGUACAAAUGUUAUCGAUAAACAAUUGGA
rnacentral:rRNA from 1 species